UGUGACAUAAGGAUGAUAACAUAGUUCAGCAGAUGAACACUGAUGAACUGAACAUGUCUUUCGCUCCUAUCUGAAAUGUCACA